rnacentral:rRNA from 1 species
UACGUAGGGGGCAAGCGUUGUCCGGAUUUACUGGGCGUAAAGGGCGCGUAGGCGGCCAGCACAAGUCAGUUGUGAAAUCUCCGGGCUUAACUCGGAAAGGUCAACUGAUACUGUGCGGCUAGAGUGCGGAAGGGGCAACUGGAAUUCUCGGUGUAGCGGUGAAAUGCGUAGAUAUCGAGAGGAACACCUGCGGCGAAGGCGGGUUGCUGGGCCGACACUGACGCUGAUGCGCGAAAGCCAGGGGAGCGAACGGG